CCCCAACCCGGGUCCGGCUCCACGCGGCGCCCCCGCCCCGCCCUCCCGCCACCCCCCUCCCAUCCCUCAGAUGUCAAGCGUGAGCUGCGGAGAGCCGUGCCGGGACGGCCUGGUGGCGCUCCAGGGACGAGCAGCUUUGUGCCGUCCGUUCACUCCGACCAAACACUGAUGGACCCUCUGCUCGGGCUCCGCCAGGCGCUGAGCACAGCGAGGACGAUUCCCCAGUCCCGUGUCCCAUCUUGUCCAGACACAAUAAACAAUGAACGUUGCGAAUCACUGCGCCGCGUGGUGUGUGAGAAGCUGAUUCGUGCUCUGAUAAAAAGGGCAGAGUCCGGGGCUCCGGAGGCAGGAGGACUGGCCAGUGGUAGUUAGCGGGUGAGACGUGAUAGCGGAGGGAGCAGCCGUGGGGAGAGCUCGGAGAAGCUGCCGGGACCACAGAAGGGAGGCCCGCGAAGUGGGCCCGGGCGGGGAGCGGCACGGGAGGGUCCUGAGCAGGGUGACAGGCGCUGGCUGAUAGGAUCCCCCGGGCGGGAGCGGGUGAACAGAAUGGAGCAGCGGGGGCGGGCCCGGGGGACCAGUGGGGAGGCCUCUUUGGCCAACCCCCCUUCAGGGACCCCCGUGGUGCCGGCUGGGGUGGGGCAGCGCAGGUGCGGGAAGCGAUCCGCUCCUGGUAGAUUAUGAAGACAGAAGCGAGGGGGGCGCGGUUGUUGAGGAGUUGGAUGUGAGAUGCCAGGUAAAAGGGGAAACCAGGAAGGGUUCCUGGAAGCCAGGGGAAGAAGGCGCAUCCAGGAGGACGCCUGUGUGGAGCGAGGUGGGAGUCACCGGUGACCCGGAGGAUAGCAGCGCUGGGGGGCGGGGCAGCUGGAGGCGGUUUAACGAGAAGGCGAGCUGAGUGACGGCCGGCGAGCACCAAGCGGGAAACAAAAGUGGAGGCAGCUGGGAAGAAGGCCACCGAGACAAGGUUGUUUUGUUUUUUCUUUUUACGAGGGGAGAAAUAACCCGCGUGUUUACAGGAUCCGGAAAGGACUUUGCAGAAAGGAAGAAUGGAUGGUGCCAGAGAGCUUGGUCUCAGCCAGUGUCGGCCCUUCUGCACACACAUGCCUACCUGCCAAAGACCACUAGAUAUGAGGACACCGCCCAGCAGAGGAUCCCAAAUCUGGGUGGGUGGGAGCACGCCACUAAAGCUCCUGGGAAGGAAUUGGACAAGCAGCUUGGAGCCCCCUUGGAGCGGGAUCAGCCCCUCCUACCCUCAUCUGCAGCUGCUCUUGGGGCCUGCUGGAAGAUUGUCAUAAUAAACACAUGCAGGGCUUCCCUGGUGGCGCAGUGGUUAGGAAUCCGCCUGCCAAUGCAGGGGACACGGGUUCAAGCCCUGGUCUGGGAAGAUCCCACAUGCCGCGGAGCAACUAAGUCCAUGCACCACAACUACUGAGCCCGCGUGCCACAACUACUGAAGCCUGCACGCCUAGAGGCCAUGCUCCGCAACAAGAGAAGCCACCGCAAUGAGAAGACCGCACACCGCAACGAAGAGUAACCCCCACUCGCCACAACUAGAGAAAGCACGCACGCAGCAACGAAGACCCAACGCAGCCAAAAACAAAUAAAUAAAAAAAGAGAGAGAGAGAGAAAAACCUGUACCUUGCAGCCCUCACUGGGCCCUGGUGCAUGCUGGCACACCCUACUCCUGCCCCUCGCAGGCCCAGGCAGGCCCAGACACAGGAUGCAUGCUCCUCUCCUCGUGUGCACAGGAGGGUGGAGCUGGACAGGGAGCUCCCUUGGUUCUGUCCAGCCCAGGUCAGCCCCGUCCCCUGCCAUCAGUCCUGCACAAACACACAGGGCCAGAGCCGGGGAAAGGAAACAGGCAGGGCUGUGAUCCCUAACUUAGGAAGGCAGGUGUAUCAGUGUCCUAGGGCAGCCACAACAAAUGACCACAGACUGGGGGGCUUAAAACCACAAAUUUCUUCUCUCACAGUCCAGGAGGCCAGAAGUCCAAAAUCUAGGUUGACAGCUGUGCUUUCUCUGAAAUCUGUAGAGGGAAUCCUUUGUUUCCGCUUCUGGUUUUUGGUCCUUCAGUCUUCCGUGGCUUAUGGCAGCAUCACCCCAAUCUCUGCCUCGGUCUUCUUAUG